AUAUAGGCAUCAUAAACAAUAUGGAGUAUACAAUUAAGUAAUAAAAGGGAUUCGUAAGGAUACCUAGCAGAUAUAUUUAAAAGGAUAUAUUUAUAAAAAGUUGAAGUGAAUAAUUUGAAUACUUUAACAAUCCUAAGGAAAACCAAUAUAAUAAAAUACGUUGGGAAUUAAAACAUUUAAGUACCAAUAGGAAAGGAAAUCAAACGAGACUUCUGGAGUAAUGGUGAGUGAAACAGAAUGAGCCUUAUUCUUUUGUCUAUUCUGUUCCAAUGGACUCAUUAAUAUUGUGGAAUUCAAUAUUAUGCUGUGUAUAUUCAUAGUUACCAAAGACGGUGAUAGUCCGGUGAUAGUUUUUUAGUCCAAUGAAUAGACAAGGAAUUAAAUAAAGUAAUAUGGAGACGGCUGCUCUGUAUGAAUUUAUAAUAUCUAAGAAAUUAGAUAAUGGGAUACCAUUCUCAAAGGCUAAGUAUAAUAUAUCUAGCGAUAGUGAAGAGUAACGUGAGUGAAAGGUGAAAAGUAAGUGUAUGACUAGUGAAAGAGAUCUUGAAUUACGAAUCCUACAAGCAGUUAGAGUCUAAUAGAAUUAGAUGAUAACGUACCUUUUGCAUAAUGGGUCAGCAAGUUAAUUUUCAAUGCAAGACUAAUAAGUCCUAGUGAAAACGUCUAUGUUUUCUUUAUUUAAAGAUAAAGAAUAUAUGGGUAGAGUAUUGAAAAUUAGAUCCGAAACCAGAUGAUCUUUUUAUGACCAGGUUUAAAAGGACCGAACGUAUGAAUGUUGCAGUAUUCUGCGAUGAGUUGUGAAAAGGGGUGAAAUGCCAAUCUAAUCUGGUGAUAGCUGAUAUUCUGCGAAAUCUAUUUUAGUAGAAAGUAUAUGUAGAUAUAUUUCUGUAUAGCACUGAUUUCCAUUUCUCGUAACCUAUUAGGUUGCACAUAGAAUAAAUUAGGGGGUUAUAAACUCUACUAUUGGAAGUUAACCUCAGAAGGAGAUACUAUCGGUCAUAUACUGACAGUCUAUUUGUGAUAAGGUAAAUAGACAAAAGGGAAACAGCCCAGAUCAUAUAUUAAGGUGCCCUAAAUAAUAUUAAGUGAAAAUAAGAGAGUUUUGUGUUCAAGACAGCUAUGAAGUAAGCUUGGAAGUAGCUAUCUUUUAAUGAAAGUGUAACAACUCAAUAGUCGAUUUUCUGGACACAAAGCAUCGAAGAUUUAUCGGGUCUAGAUAUUAAACCUAAAUUAUGAUAUUAAUGAAUUAAUUAGAUUACUAUUUAAUUCUUAAUAAGGUAGCAGAACACUUAGUAGUUAGGUUGAAGAAUAUUCCUAAGAAUAUUUGGACUCUACUAAAGAGAGAAUGCUGGCAUGAGUAACGAUUAAGAAGUUAUAAUACUUCUCGCCGAAUACGAAAGGUUUUCAUGAAAAAGGUAAUCUGUCAUGAUUUAAACGGAUUCUAAGGUGUAAUAUACGAAUUGUUGUUACCCGAUGAAAUAGAAGAAUACUAUUCCUGAAAUCCAAGUAAGGAACAAGAAAAAUAUUCUUUUAAUUUAAUUAUAUCCGUACCUUAAACCGACACAGGUUCGUAGGUAGAGUAUACUAAGGCGUAGAGAUAAGGCUAGUGAAGGAACUCGGCAAAAUGCUUCCGUAAGUUCGACGAUAAGGAAGGAGUGUAUAUAUAUCAUAUACACUUAGCAUAAAAGUGGGGGCUUCGACUGUUUACUAAAAACACAGCAACUUGCUAAGACUAGAAGUACUUGUAUAAGUUGUGAACUCUGUCCAAUGCCAAUCCGUGUAAGGGAGGUGAUUUUAGCGUUAGCUAAUUGUCACUAACUGAUGCGGUGGUCAAUGACGGUCUUAACCAUAAGGAUCUGAAAGUAGCAUAGAAUAUUGUUCAAAAUAUAAUCGCUGGAAAUUCCUUGGCCAUUAAAUGUGGUCCUGCAUGAAUGAGGUAACGCGGCCCUGCUGUCUCCACUAGCUCCUCAGUGAAAUUGAAUUAGCCGUGCAGAUGCGGUUUGCCUUCCGGAGGACGCGAAGACCCUAUGCAGCUUUACUGUAAUUUGAUAUUGUUUUUGAUUAGAUCUAGUGUAGAAUACAAGGGAGUGUAAACGCCAGUGAAAUACCUUGAUAGAUCUUAAUUAGAAACUAAUUUAUAGCAAUAUAGAGACAGUAUCAGAGGGUCAGUUUUACUGGGGCGGUAGCCUCUAAGAAAGUAUCAGAGGCCUUCAAAGGUAUAUUUAUAUUGGUCAGAAACCAAUGAGCAUCUAUACGCUCAUCAAAGUGUAAUGAUAAAAUAUGCUUGACUGAAAGACUGAUAGGUCGAUCAGCUACGCAAGUAGGACAUAGUGAUCCGGUGAUUCAUAAUGGAAUGAUCAUCGCUCAAGAAAUAAAAGUUACGCUAGGGAUAACAGGUUUAUCGUUUGCAAGAGUUCAUAUUGUCCAAACGGUUUGACACCUCGAUGUCGACUCAUCUCAUCCUCCAGGUGUAGUAGCUUGGAAGGGUUCAGCUGUUCGCUGAAUAAAGAGGUACGUGAGUUGG
rnacentral:rRNA from 1 species